rnacentral:rRNA from 1 species
ACGGGGUGCAGCAGNCGAGAAACCUUUGCAAUGUGCGCAAGCACGACAAGGUUAAUCCGAGUGUUUCCUGCUAAAGGAAUCUUUUGUUAGUUGUAAAACCACUAUCGAAUAAGGGGUGGGCAAGUUCUGGUGUCAGCCGCCGCGGUAAAACCAGCACCUCAAGUGGUCAGGAGGAUUAUUGGGCCUAAAGCAUCCGUAGCCUGUUCUAUAAGUUUCCGGUUAAAUCCACUAGCUCAACUAGUGGGCUGCCGAAAAUACUGUAGAACUAGGGAGUGGGAGAGGUAGACGGUAUUCGGUAGGAAGGGGUAAAAUCCUUUGAUCUAUUGAGGACCACCUGUGGCGAAGGCGGUCUACCAGAACACGUUCGACGGUGAGGGAUGAAAGCUGGGGGAGCAAACCGGAUUAGAUACCCGGGUAGUCCCAGCUGUAAACGAUGCAGACUCGGUGAUGCGCUGGCUUGUGGCCAGUGCAGUGCCGCAGGGAAGCCGUUAAGUUUGCCGCCUGGGAAGUACGUACGCAAGUAUGAAACUUAAAGGAAUUGGCGGGGGAGCAC